rnacentral:tRNA from 1 species
AUUUAUAUAGUAUAUAUAAAAUAUAUUUGACUUCCAAUCAAAAGAACUAAAAUUAGUAUAAAUA